CAUUAAAAUUUUAAUAGUUAAUUAAUAAUGUUUCUUUAUUUAUCUGCUAGUUCAAAUAAUAUAUUUUGACCGAUUUAAAAUAUAUAUAAAAAUUUAAUUUACAUAAAUACAUAAUACAUGUCAUAUGGUGAGCUUUACAAACAUGAGUUUAAGAAAAAAGUUUUCAGGUUAAAUUUCUUGUAUUUUCAAGUGUAUGUACUGUUUUUAUUGACAUACAAAUGAAUAAAUAAAUAUUACAGUUCUCAAUUUAUAAGAAAAUUAAUUUAAUAUCUUAAUGGUAUUUCAAAGUUUAUGAUUUUGAUAUACAGAACCUAGCAACUCAUAAAACCUAGUCUUACUUAAUUAAACAAGAAUUUUAGUUUGUGUAUUAAAGUAACAGAAAUUUUUUUUUAUUAUUAUCACUGAGUAUAUCAUGAAUUAAUUGAUUAUUCACAUAUGUAUGUAUUAAUAUUUAAAAUGUAUAAACUCAAUAUUAGUAAUAAUAAUUUUACUUGAAAAGUAUUAUUUUUGUUUUCAAAAAUAUAUGUAGAUUAUUAAUUAUUGCGAGAAUAAUUUUGUUAUCUAUAUCACUGUAGGAAUAAACUUGUUUGUAAUCAAAAUUUUUGUUAAGUCAGGUCCAUGUUAGUAUAACAUUAGAAUAACAUACAGCAACUGUUUUUUUAUUUUGGUUAAAAAUGAAGUAUGUUUAAACUGAAAAAAUGUCUGUUAUUCUAGUAUGGAGUGGACUUUUACCAUAUUCAAAAGUUUUACUAAAAAGUAUCAAAAAUAUAAUAUGAAUAACCAAUUACUAUUUAUACUAAUAAUAGAAACACAGUAUAAUUUUACAAGUUAAAUACAACAAAAAGCAUAUUUAAAAAUCAAUUUUGUAAUUAUUAUAAUACUGAAUCAAUGAUAACCUUAAUGAUUACAUUGUAUUUAAACAAAUAGAAAAGAUAAAAAAAAUUAUUUGAUAUUGAUAUUUCUUAAUAAAAAUCUUAAAUAUUACUUAAAUACAUUACAUUAAGUAGAUAUUAUCAGCAUAAUAAUUAAUUAUUUAAAAAAUAAUAUGUAUUAAAAUGUUUAAAAAUUUGCAGUUUUCAUAUUUACACUCAGAAUAUAUGAGUUUUUAUAGUGUUAUAAUCUGUUAAAAAAAUUUUUAUUUUGGUUGGUGCUUUUAGAGUUUGUUAACUGUUUUUAAAUCAAUUGUUUGAUUGGGUGCUUUUAUUCUUCAUAUUAAAGAUUUGUGAACCAUUUAUUUGACAUUUAUCUUCAAUAAAUGUUAAACUUAAGUACAAAUAUGCAUGCACAUAAUUAUAAAUAUUAUACAGUAAUAACUAAUAAUAUUUAUCUUUUUAUUAAAAUCAAUUUAUCAAACUUAUAAAUAUUGUCCUUAAUAUUGCCAUCCAUAACAUGUAUAUUUUUUCGAAUAAAUUGAAUGUAAAGUAAAAAAAAAUUAGUUAAAUAAUUAAGUAUAUACCUAAUAAGUAUAUUAAAACACCAAUUUUUAACUGAUAAGAUGGUAUAUAUCUUUAAACUUAAAAUUUUAUAGUGCAUAAUACUAUGCUAAAUUAUUGUUUUUGUUUUUUUUUUAUAUAUACAUAUGUGAUUUUAUGUUACCAUUAUCUUAAUAAUUUGAUAUAUUGAAUGAUGUAUCAACUAAAUUUAUUUUGUUUCAAUACAAAUAUUUAUAUAUAAAAAAAAAAAUUGAUAGUAGUUUGUUAAAACUCCAUAAUUUAGAGUCAACUGUUUUUAUUUAUAUUAUUAUUGUAUUUAUUUUUAGUUAUAAUAUUUAUAAAAUAUUUAAUUUGUUUUGUUUAAGUUAGAAGUAUUUCAUUUGUAUUUAAAAGGACAAUUAAUGUUUUCAAUAUAGUUUUAUAAACAUUCACAAAAUGUAUUCUUAUCCAAACUGGGAUUUGAAAUUAUGGUUGACCUAUAGGUCGGAAACUAUAGGUACUCAUUUCAUUUUGGUUUAUAUUCAUAAAUAAUAAUACUGUUUUAAUUUGAUUAGAUUACGUGAUAAACCUUUUGGCCAUAUUUUUUUAAAAUAUUGUUAUGCAGCAAAUACUCAUUCACUAGAACUUCGGUCUAGAGUGUUCAAUAUCUGUGUAUUGCGUUUUAAAAUAAAGUACUUAAAGAAUAUGAUAAAUAUAAAACCAAUAACAGUAAAUUAUUUAUUAGAUUAUUAUUUGUUGUUUGUUAAAAUUGUUUUAAACUUAAAUAAAUGUGAAUAAAAUGUAUUUAUUUCAAUUAAGUCUAACUAUCCCUAUUAGUCGACAAUGUUAGAGUACCGAUGUAUACAUUUUAUAGGUACGUUAUAUUAUGUAAAAAUUUUAUUGCAGAGAAAUAUUGUAAUUUUUUUUUUUUGCAAUUUGUCUGGUAUAUAUAUAUAUAUAAUAGGAGGACAUUAUGCUAUUAUAUAUAAUAACAAAUGUAAUUUUGUAUUAUUAGCUUUUUUGUUGAAAUAUAUGUUAGAAUAUCAUUUUUGUUAUUUUACAAUGUAUGUACGUUAUGUUCAUGUCAUUUAUGAAAAUGUUUUUUAUUAAAUCCAUUUAAAAUUAUUGUCA